AGAAUUUGAUCUUGGUUCAGAACGAACGCUGGUGGCGUGCUUAUACAUGCAAGUCGAGCGAGGCAGCAAUGCCGAGCGGCGAACGGGUGAGUAACGCGUAAGCAAUCUGCCCCAUAUCAGGAAAUACCCGUGCCAACGCGCGGUUAAUGUCCAGGAGAGUGGCCCCCUGCAUGGGGGGUUGGCUAGAGAUUUAUCGGUAUGGGAUGAGCUUGCGUCCGAUUAGCUAGUUGGCGGGGCAACGGCCCACCAAGGCGACGAUCGGUAGCCGGCCUGAGAGGGUGAUCGGCCACAUUGGGACUGAGAUACGGCCCAGACUCCUACGGGAGGCAGCAGUAGGGAAUAUUGCACAAUGGGGGAAACCCUGAUGCAGCAACGCCACGUGUGGGAAGAAGCAUUUCGGUGUGUAAACCACUGUCAUGAGGGAAUAAGGCCCGCCUUCGGCGGACUUGAAUGUACCUUGAGAGGAAGCACCGGCAAACUUCGUGCCAGCCGCGGC
rnacentral:rRNA from 1 species